AAAUAAAUUAUUUAUGUUUUAAAAAUUUUAUUAUGAAUUUAUUUUACAUAUAAAUUUUAGUAUAAAAUUUUAAUUAUUUUAAUAAUAAUUAAUUAUUUAAGUAGUAAUUAAUAUUAAAAAUUUAAGAAAUUAAGAUUUAGUAAUAUAAAAAUUAAUAACUAAUUUUGUGCCAGCAGUUGCGGUUAUACAAAAAUUAAAUUAAAUUAUUUCAGUUUAUAAUUAAUAAAUUUAAAUUUAAAUUAAAUAUUAAAUUAUUAAGUGAAAUUUUAAUUUAAUUAAAUUUUAUUUUUAAAUUAUGAAUUAAUAAAUUUUAAUAUAAACUAGGAUUAGAUACCCUAUUAUUAAAAAUUUAAUUUAUAAUACUAAAAUAGUAAAUAAAUAUAUAUUGAAACUUGAAUAAAAUGGCGGUAUUUUAGUUCAUUUAGAGGAAUCUGUCUAAUAAUUGAUAAUCCACGAAUAAAUUUACUUAAUUUUAAAUUUUGUAUAUCAUUGUUAAAAAAAUAUUUUAAAAUAAGAAUAAUAUUUUAAAAUUUUAAUAUAAAAUUAAUUCAGAUCAAGAUGCAGAUUAUAAUUAAGAAUAUGAUGGAUUACAAUAAAUAUAUUUAAAUGAAUAAUAUUAUUGUAAAAUAUAUUUAAAAGUGGAUUUAAAUGUAAUUUUAAUUAAUUUAUUAAAAUGAUUAAAAAUUAAAAUAUGUACAUAUUGCCCGUCACUUUCAUUUAAAAAUUGAAAUAAGUCGUAACAAAGUAGAGGUACUGGAAAGUGUUUCUAGAAAGGA
rnacentral:ncRNA from 1 species